rnacentral:rRNA from 1 species
UGCCAGCCGCCGCGGUAAUACGGAGGGUGCAAGCGUUGCUCGGAUUUACUGGGCGUAAAGAGCACGUAGGUGGUUUGGUAAGUCUGAUGUGAAAGCCCACGACCCAAUCGUGGAAGUGCAUUGGAUACUGCCAGACUAGAGUACAGGAGGGGUAAGCGGAAUUCCAGGUGUAGAGGUGAAAUUCGUAGAUAUCUGGAGGAACAACGGCGGCGAAGGCGGCUUGCUGGACUGUCACUGACACUGAGGUGCGAAAGUGUGGGGAGCAAACAGGAUUAGAUA